rnacentral:rRNA from 1 species
UAAACUACGAUUAGAUACCCUAUUAUUUUAAAUGUUAAGUGUUAAUACUUGAGUAGUAGUAGUUAUGAGCUUGAAACUCAAAGAAUUUGGCGGUGUUUUAGUCCUUUCAGAGGAACCUGUCCCAUAAUCGAUAGUCCACGUUAUACCUUACUUAAUUUUGUAUUCAGCUUGUAUACCUCCGUCCUCAGAGUAUCCUAUUAGGGUUUAUGAAUGUUCUUGAUUCUUUAUGAAGGGAUUAUGUCAGGUCAAGGUGCAGUUUAUGGUUAAGUGGAGAUGGGUUACAAUAAAUUUAUUUAUACGGAAAUUGACUUGAAAUUUAGUUAAUUUAAGGUGGAUUUGAAGGUAAUUUUAUUAAUUAUAUUAUAUUGAUUUUGGCUCUAAAACAUGCACACAUCGCCCGUCGCUCUUA